rnacentral:rRNA from 1 species
AGACACGGCCCAAACUCCUACGGGAGGCAGCAGUAGGGAAUUUUCGUCAAUGGGGGGAACCCUGAACGAGCAAUGCCGCGUGAGUGAGGAAGGUCUUCGGAUCGUAAAGCUCUGUUGUAAGAGAAAAACGGCACUCAUAGGGAAUGAUGAGUGAGUGAUGGUAUCUUACCAGAAAGUCACGGCUAACUACGUGCCAGCAGCCGCGGUAAUACGUAGGUGGCGAGCGUUAUCCGGAAUGAUUGGGCGUAAAGGGUGCGUAGGUGGCAGAUCAAGUCUGGAGUAAAAGGUAUGGGCUCAACCCGUACUGGCUCUGGAAACUGAUCAGCUAGAGAACAGAAGAGGACGGCGGAACUCCAUGUGUAGCGGUAAAAUGCGUAGAUAUAUGGAAGAACACCGGUGGCGAAGGCGGCCGUCUGGUCUGGAUUCUGACACUGAAGCACGAAAGCGUGGGGAGCAAAUAGGAUUAGAUACCCUAGUAGUCCACGCCGUAAACGAUGAGAACUAGGUGUUGGGGGAAUAACUCAGUGCCGCAGUUAACGCAGUAAGUUCUCCGCCUGGGGAGUAUGCACGCAAGUGUGAAACUCAAAGGAAUUGACGGGGGCCCGCACAAGCGGUGGAGUAUGUGGUUUAAUUCGAAGCAACGCGAAGAACCUUACCAGGCCUUGACAUCCCUUGCAGAGGUAUAGAGAUAUAUCCGAGGUUAUCAAGGAGACAGGUGGUGCAUGGUUGUCGUCAGCUCGUGUCGUGAGAUGUUGGGUUAAGUCCCGCAACGAGCGCAACCCUUGUGAUAUGUUACUAACAUUGAGUUGAGGACUCAUAUCAGACUGCCGGUGAUAAACCGGAGGAAGGUGGGGAUGACGUCAAAUCAUCAUGCCCCUUAUGGCCUGGGCUACACACGUACUACAAUGGCGUCUACAAAGAGCGGCAAGCCUGUGAAGGCAAGCGAAUCUCAUAAAGGACGUCUCAGUUCGGAUUGAAGUCUGCAACCCGACUUCAUGAAGCUGGAAUCGCUAGUAAUCGCGAAUCAGCAUGUCGCGGUGAAUACGUUCUCGGGCCUUGUACACACCGCCCGUCAAACCAUGGGAGUUGGUAAUGCCCGAAGCCGGUGGCAUAACCCUUCGGGGAGUGAGCCGUCGAAGGCAGGACCGAUGACUGGGGUUAAGUCGUAACAAGGUAUCCCUACGGGAACGUGGGG